GACGACGGCGGCGGCGGGAGGGGGCGGGGGCAGGGCCCCGCUGCGAGAGGCGGGCGCGGACGGCUGGGCCCGGUGUCCCUGCGGUGACGUCGCUUGGUUGUAUUCAACUUGACAGAAUGACAGGAAUGGAGACUGAAACUGCAAGAGACAAAGCCAUGGAAGAAGAAAGCACUGAACAGAAAAAGGAGAGAGAAAAAAAGAAGAGGUCGAGGGUUAAACAGGUGCUUGCAGAUAUAGCAAAACAAGUGGAUUUCUGGUUUGGUGAUGUUAAUCUCCAUAAAGACAGAUUUCUCCGAGAACAAAUAGAAAAGUCCAGAGAUGGCUAUGUUGACAUAUCGCUUCUUGUUUCUUUCAAUAAAAUGAAAAAAUUGACUACCGAUGGAAAAUUGAUAGCUCGAGCAGUUAAAAGUUCAUCUGUUGUAGAGUUGGAUUUAGAAGGAACUAGGAUCAGAAGACGCCAGCCACUGGGUGAGCAACCAAAGGAUGUGGAUAGUCGUACAGUCUAUGUGGAGCUGCUUCCCAAAAAUGUCAAUCACAGUUGGAUUGAGCGGGUAUUUGGAAAGUGUGGUAAUGUCGUUUAUGUCAGUAUACCCCGGUAUAAAACAAGUGGUGAUCCAAAGGGAUUUGCUUUUGUUGAAUUUGAAACUAAAGAGCAAGCAGAGAAAGCUAUUGAGUUUUUGAAUAAUCCACCAGAAGAAGCACCACGAAAACCGGGGAUUUUCCCCAAAACAGUAAAGAAUAAGCCUGUUCCUGCCCUGAAUACAAGUAACAGCAGUGUAGUAGAAGAGAAGAAAAAGAAGAAAAAAAAGAAAUCCAAAGUCAAGAAAGAGAGCAGCGCACAGGCAGCUGUAGAGACAAAGGAAUCAAACACUAAUACUUCAACAGAGCAAGUACCCAAGUCUAAAAGACAUAGGACUUCAUCAGAGUGUUCAGAAAUGGAAGGAACUGAGACUCACAGGCAGCCCUCAAAGAGAGAGAAAAGAAAAUGGGACAGAACAGAAAGCUCAGAGGUACCUUGGGAAAGCAGGCCAGGGAAGAGAAAAAGAACCAGCUCUGGAGAUGGUGAGACAUCAACUCCAAAAGUAAAGACGACUGUUCAGAAGGAUGAAGUAGGUCCUGUAAAGGAAGAAUCAGAAGCCCCGAAAGAUUCCAACGACGUUUCUGCAGAAGAUGACAAAGAUAAAAAGGACACAUCCCUUUCAAAAUCUAAAAGGAAACACAAGAAAAAACACAAAGAAAGACACAAAAUGGGUGAAGAAGUCAUUCCGCUCAGAGUACUCUCCAAGACCGAGUGGAUGGAUUUGAAGCAAGAAUAUUUGGCCCUUCAAAAAGCCAGUAUGGCCUCCUUAAAGAAAACAAUGUCUCAAAUCAAACCUGAGCCUGUGGGAGAGAUGGAAACAGAAUCUUGUGCACAGAAAAAGUCUCAGUCUCAAAAUAACAAAUCCAGCAGUGGAGAUUCUGCCCCUCCAGCCAAGGCUAACACAAUGGGGCCUCAGUUCGUCAGCGGAGUAAUUGUGAAGAUCGUUAGCGCUGAGCCCCUGCCGGGCAGGAAGCAGAUCAAGGAUGCUUUGGCAGUGCUGGCUGACGUUGCUUAUGUUGACAUGCUGGAGGGAGACACAGAAUGUCAUGUCCGUUUCAACACUCCUGAAGAUGCCCAGAUUGUCAUGAGAUCAUACAAAGAAAUACAGAUCAAAAACAACUGGAAAUUCGAAGUUCUUACUGGUGAUCAUGAACAACGUUACUGGCAGAAGAUUUUAGUGGACAGACAAGCUAAACUUAACCAGCCUCGAGAAAAGAAACGGGGUACUGAGAAGGAGGGUUUUACAGCCACAAAAUAACGUCUGGCUGUCCUGGUCCUGUUGCCAAAUGCAAGGCUUGUCUUUAUGGAGACAAUCAGAGGAAGUUGUCCACGACUAAAGGCAUGAAGUUAAUUUUUAAUCGCUAAAGCUGAAAGAAUGAGACUUGAAAAGACGCAGCAAACAAGUAAACAUAUUCGCUUCACUGAAGAUAACUAACCAAGACGGAUUGUGAUAUUGGAAGUGAACUAGUUUUUUUUUAAAAAAAAAACCACAAAACACAACCGAAAAUAAAUCUCACAAACACCACGGCUUAUAGCAACUAAAUAAUUUCUAAGAAACCGUCAAAACCUGGUCCAUGUGAUUCAUAAUUCUGCAGGCUGCAAGUAUAAAGACUGUUGUGAAUCCCAUUUUUAAGUAGGCUGAAUGUUUACUGCUUCUGAGCCUUUACAUAAAGCUUUCUGGAAAAAAUGUA